rnacentral:rRNA from 1 species
CCAAUAGCGUAUAUUAAAGUUGUUGCAGUCAAAAAGCUCGUAGUUGAAUUUCGGGACUAACAGAUUGGUCGCGCCUUUGGUGUGUACUGGUCUAGUUGGUUUCUCCCUUCUGACGAACCACGAUGUCAUUAAUUUGGUGUCGUGGGAAAUCAGGACUGUUACUUUGAAAAAAUUAGAGUGUUUAAAGCAAGCGUUAGCUUGAAUACAUUAGCAUGGAAUA